CGAUAAGAGCCUUACAUCCGGUGAUUCACUCGACGCCCAAUGCCUCCUCAUGGAACCCAAGAUCCUCCACCUUCUCUCCCCUCAUCCUCACAUAAUCCAACUCUACAAUCUCUAUGAAGACGAGGCGCACCUCCACAUGGUAAUCGACUUGUGUUCCGGCGAGGAUCUUCACAAUUUAAUCAUCGCCAAUGGCGUUAUUCCCGAGGCCGAAGCCAGGCUCCUCUUUACUCAGCUUAUGAGAGCCGUUUCUCACUGCCACAAGUGCGGCGUCGUUCACCGUGACAUCAAGCCCGAUAACAUUUUGCUCGAGUCCAGAAAUACGGUGAAGUUAGCCGAUUUUGGAUCCGCUGAGGUGGUUAUGGACGGAGAGAUGAUGAAUGGUGUUGUAGGGACGCCAUACUACGUGGCGCCAGAGGUUUUACUCGGGAGAGAGUACGGGGAGAAGGUGGACGUGUGGAGUGCUGGUGUGGUGUUG
rnacentral:misc_RNA from 1 species